UGGGGAAUCUUCCGCAAUGGACGAAAGUCUGACGGAGCAACGCCGCGUGUAUGAUGAAGGUCUUCGGAUUGUAAAGUACUGUCAUUGGGGAAGAACGGUUUUCUUGAAAAGAUUGAGAAGACAUGACGGUACCCAAGGAGGAAGCCCCGGCUAACUACGUGCCAGCAGCCGCGGUAAUACGUAGGGGGCAAGCGUUGUCCGGAAAUUAUUGGGCGUAAAGGGCGCGUAGGCGGGCCUUUAAGUCCGGUGUGAAAGAUCAGGGCUCAACCCUGAGAGUGCAUCGGAAACUGGAGGCCUUGAGGACAGGAGAGGAAAGUGGAAUUCCACGUGUAGCGGUGAAAUGCGUAGAUAUGUGGAGGAACACCAGUGGCGAAGGCGACUUUCUGGACUGUAACUGACGCUGAGGCGCGAAAGCGUGGGGAGCAAACAGGAUUAGAUACCCUGGUAGUCCACGCCGUAAACGAUGAGUGCUAGGUGUAGAGGGUAUCGACCCCCUUCUGUGCCGCAGUUAACACAAUAAGGCACUCCCGCCUGGGGAGGUACGGCCGCAAGGUUGAAACUCAAAUGAAUUGACGGGGUCAUAGCUGUUUUCC
rnacentral:rRNA from 1 species